rnacentral:lncRNA from 1 species
UCUGGUCUUUACCGUGUUUGCUGAUUAGUAUCCUUUAAAGCCCCUUUGUUAAUGUCAUUUCUUCGUUAUUCUGUAAGUACAGAGGAUCACGACACAAAUGCGGUCCCAGGGCCCUCUAUCCCUUAACUAUGAGGACUUGGACAACAUGCAAGGUCUUGCCAUAUAAUCUGGAGUUGAAGAAGAAUCUAAGGGUAUGAGUCAGAUAAACAUGUUUCAUAAAUUAUAUUUGAGUCACAAAGACUCCACAGCAGUGAGAAGAAUGGCACUGCUAGAGGAUUUUGGAGCAUUGUUAGCAAAGACAGUAUGUAGCGUACAGCUGGGACCAUCUACCGCUUUAUGUUUGUACAGUACUUAACGGUACAAGGAAUCACGUAAUGAUUGCUGCUGCCUUGUGAGUCGGGCUUCAUUGCAUACAUUUGUUCAGCUGCGGGGCUGAAGUGCUCAAAUCAGAUAGACAAAGGUAAGCGCUGUGCUGUUCAACCAUGACAAGUCUGACAUGCUUCUGUGCCUGUCUA